UGGGGAAUAUUGCACAAUGGGCGAAAGCCUGAUGCAGCAACGCCGCGUGAGUGAUGAAGGCCUUCGGGUUGUAAAGCUCUGUCUUCUGGGACGAUAAUGACGGUACCAGAGGAGGAAGCCACGGCUAACUACGUGCCAGCAGCCGCGGUAAUACGUAGGUGGCAAGCGUUGUCCGGAUUUACUGGGCGUAAAGCGCGUGCAGGCGGAUUGGAGAGUUGGAUGUGAAAGCUCCCGGCUUAACUGGGAGAGGUCGUUCAAUACUUCCAGUCUUGAGUGCAGUAGAGGGAAGUGGAAUUCCGGGUGUAGUGGUGAAAUGCGUAGAUAUCCGGAGGAACACCAGUGGCGAAAGCGGCUUCCUGUACUGUAACUGACGCUCAGACGCGAAAGCUAGGGUAGCAAACG
rnacentral:rRNA from 1 species